rnacentral:rRNA from 1 species
UACGGGGGGGGGGUAAGCGUUGUUCGGAAUUACUGGGCGUAAAGGGCUCGUAGGCGCCAACUAAGUCAGACGUGAAAUCCCCUCAGCUUAACUGGGGGAACUGCGUCCGAUACUGGCAGGCUUGAAUCCGGGAGAGGGAUGCGGAAUUCCAGGUGUAGCGGUGAAAUGCGUAGAUAUCUGGAGGAACACCGGUGGCGAAGGCGGCAUCCUGGACCGGUAUUGACGCUGAGGCGCGAAAGCCAGGGGAGCAAAGCGGG